GUUCCCUUCAGCAGAACAUAUACUAAAAUUCAAAUGACAUAGAGAAGAUAAGCAUGGAUCUGUGCAACGAUAACAUGCAAACUCAUGGAGCAUUCCAUGUUUUU
ensembl:snRNA U6 U6 spliceosomal RNA